rnacentral:lncRNA from 1 species
GUAGAGCGAAUUAGAGCACAACAGCAACAUUUUUGUCACGUCAGAAAACUGCUGUGCUUCAGCCAGUUGGUAGAAAAAAAAAGAAAAUGCAGGCGAAAGCUAUUUUCCAUCAACAUCUGCUGAGAGUUGUACCAAAGCAUGUAAAUGUCCAAUAAUUGCGCUGGGAGCAGGACACACAAACGUGUGCCGCAGCGGUGAGAAGCUCGCACACUCACAUGGUGAAAAAGGAUUUUUGUACACCUGAAAGGAAAAUAAGGACUUAGUAAAAGUAACUUGUGGCCGUGUACGUGUGAGUUUGGGUCACUCCCUUUCUUGGACCAAAGUGGUUCUGUCUGAAUGUAAUCUUUGAAAGUUUCCAGUAGUGUGUUUCUGUUUCCCUCCUCCUAAAAGGUGGCUGUGUACAGUAUUGGUGUGCGUGAACAUCAGAUCAGUGAAGGAACGCGGACUGAAUCCGGGUGUAAACAGGUCAUCAUAUAUUGUAUUUUCUCUCUGUGUCUGUCUCUUAUCUUCCUGCAUUUCCUCUAAAUCCUCCAGAAAAACCGUUGCCUGGCAUCCUACUUAUUCACCUUAUGAGUUACUUUUGAACUUAAUAGAUCAAAGAGACUGACCGCAAAAAAUAGUGGUGUGGCAUACCAAAAGGUCAAGUAUUUCAUCAAAAUGACCAAAAGUUAACCUUUAACUUGCAGGCCCGAACUAAUUCUCCAUACAAUCUGACAGCAUGGUGCCGAUAUGACGAGGUGAACUGGUGUGCCACAUCAUUUCUGUCUGGUCUCCAAACCAGAAAAGCACUGUUCAACGACCUUUUUGUGGAAUAUGGGAGCCAUAAUAAGUUCUUCUCCUAGCCCUUUCUUAGCUGGAAAGCCAAGGUCUCAUGCAGAAGACGAGACAUUUACUCUCUGAAUAAAGCUUAUCUUUCUUGUCAUAAAUUACUUUUUAAAAACCUCAUAUUCUGUUGAAUGAACAAUUUGUUUAAAUCCAAAGUCGUCAGUUUAAAUGAAUAUUUUUUUUCUGUAAUGAUUCAUUUCAGAUCUUUCAUCACACCAGAUCAGUAAUUAUUGAUUCUAGUAAUUUAAUCUAUAAGUAUGAACACAAUAAUGUCCCUAUAUUAUCAUUAGAUGUUAACGUUUUCACUUCACACUAGGAGUUUAUCUCUAAGUAUCUGACAGAGGGAGUGAUUCUCUUAGGUCUUUGGCAACGCCUUUAAACUUGUCAAAUUCUGAUUCGUCUAAAUUUGUCAACAACAUUUAUUAAAUACAAGGAUCACUUCCUGAUCUAGUCAGUUCUCCAGCCACCUCCCGAUUAGGCCGAUCAGGUGGGCAAGCAUUUGGAACCAUUCUCUCUUAUAACCCCAAGGCCACAGUCGCUCUGCAACGCUUGCCAGUGAUGUCAGACACUACAACCCCUCAGAUGUGGAACGUCUAAACUGCAGACCCUGGUUGCAUCUCAUGGCCGGUGAAAUCUGAAUUCGAAAGGAACUGUGACUCUUUAAGAUUCCUGCUUAUUGAAUCUGUGUGUGUGUGUGUGUGUGUGUGUGUGUGUGUGUGUGUGUGUGUGUGUGUGUGUGUGUGUGUGUGUGUGUGUGUGUGUGUG